GAUGAAGAACGUAGCGAAAUGCGAUAAGUAGUGUGAAUUGCAGAAUUCAGUGAAUCAUCGAAUCUUUGAACGCACCUUGCGCCCUUUGGCUAUUCCGAAGGGCAUGCCUGUCCGAGCGUCAUUGCUGCCCUCAAGCACGGCUUGUGUGUUGGGCCUCCGUCCUCCUCCCGGGGGACGGGCCCGAAAGGCAGCGGCGGCACCGCGUCCGGUCCUCGAGCGUAUGGGGCUUCGUCACCCGCUCUUGUAGGCCCGGCCGGCGCUUGCCGACACAUCAAUCUUUUUUCCAGGUUGACCUCGGAUCAGGUAGGGAUACCCGCUGAACUUAAGCAUAUCAAUAAGCGGAGGA
rnacentral:misc_RNA from 1 species